rnacentral:snoRNA from 1 species
AAGUGAGAUGAUGGAUACCAUCUUUCGGGACUGACUUGAAAUGGAGAGAGAUCUUAUUGCUGAUCACUU